CAGCAGCCGCGGUAAUACGUAGGUGGCAAGCGUUGUCCGGAAUUAUUGGGCGUAAAGGGCUCGCAGGCGGUUUCUUAGGUCUGAUGUGAAAGCCCCCGGCUCAACCGGGGAGGGUCAUUGGAAACUGGGAAACUUGAGUGCAGAAGAGGAGAGUGGAAUUCCACGUGUAGCGGUGAAAUGCGUAGAGAUGUGGAGGAACACCAGUGGCGAAGGCGACUCUCUGGUCUGUAACUGACGCUGAGGAGCGAAAGCGUGGGGAGCGAACAGGAUUAGAUACCCCUGUAGUCCCUGUCUCUUAUAA
rnacentral:rRNA from 1 species